UACAGAGGUGGCAAGCGUUGUUCGGAAUUACUGGGCGUAAAGGGCGCGUAGGCGGCCUUCUAAGUCAGACAUGAAAUCCCCCGGCUUAACCUGGGAACUGCGUCUGAUACUGGGAGGCUUGAGUAUGGGAGAGGGAUGUAGAAUUCCAGGUGUAGCGGUGAAAUGCGUAGAUAUCUGGAGGAAUACCGGUGGCGAAGGCGGCAUCCUGGACCAUUACUGACGCUGAGGCGCGAAAGCUAGGGGAGCAAACGGG
rnacentral:rRNA from 1 species